rnacentral:lncRNA from 1 species
GAAUCUCAGGGGUUUUAGAAACACACAAAGAAUAUAAAAUAUUCAAGAAAACACUCCAGAAUCAAAGGGCAUGAGUUUCAGAUUGAAAGGGCCACCAAGGGACCAACACAAUAGGUAUAUCACUGUGAAACUUCUUAACACUGGGGACAAAGGAAUCCUACAAGGUCACACACAAAGAAGGCUCUGGCCUUAACAGCAGCCCUGGAAGCUUGAAGACAAUGGAGCCACGCUAUCAAAGUUCUGAGACAAAGUGACUUCUUAUCUAGAAUUCCACACUUCAUCAAUCAAGGGUUGGACAUUUUCAGACAUGCAAGCUUUCAAAAUAUUUCCCUCUCAUGAACUCUCGGGAAGCUCCUGGAGAAUGUAUGUCAUCAAAAACAGGGAAGAAAGCAAGAAAUGAGAAGACACAGGAAAGAGUGGAAACUAGAGAGUUUCUGCUUCAAGAUGUUGAAACGGAGACUCCAAGAGGAUGGUUUCUGAGCGUGAGUCCUAGCGUCAGCUACCAUCAGCAGCAGCAGCACAGCACGGAGCCAGAUCUCGGGCGCAGACACUCAUGGAGAGGCCACAGUUUAAUCAGCAAGCUGAGGCAAACCGUGUUUCAGGAGAAUUCACAAUAUAAGUGUUCUGUGAUCUAGUAGGCAUCUCUGCUGGAAGGCACAGAGAAACCCUUUGAAGAACUCACAUCUCAUACCAUAGCUUUUGUCAGAACAGCACAGCUCAAUUAACCCAAUCGACCAUCAGCCAUCUAUUGAGUACCUUCUACAGGGUAUCAACCACCCAAUUCCUGUCUUCCUGGAGAUCACACUAGUGGACAGCAUGGACUCACAAACUGACAUAGCUAUAAAAUGUCUCAUACCAUUCUCU